rnacentral:rRNA from 1 species
AGCGAACGCUGGCGGCAGGCCUAACACAUGCAAGUCGAACGAACCCUUCGGGGUUAGUGGCGGACGGGUGAGUAACACGUGGGAACGUGCCUUUAGGUUCGGAAUAACUCAGGGAAACUUGUGCUAAUACCGAGUGUGCCCUUCGGGGGAAAGAUUUAUCGCCUUUAGAGCGGCCCGCGUCUGAUUAGCUGGUUGGUGAGGUAAUGGCUCACCAAGGCUACGAUCAGUAGUUGGUCUGAGAGGAUGACCAGCCACAUUGGGACUGAGACACGGCACAAACUCCUACGGGAGGCAGCAGUGGGGAAUCUUGCGCAAUGGGCGAAGGCCUGACGCAGCCAUGCCGCGUGGAUGAUGAAGGUCUUAGGAUUGUAAAAUCCUUUCACCGGUGAAGAUAAUGACUGUAGCCGGAGAAGAAGCCCCGGCUAACUUCGUGCCAGCAGCCGCGGUAAUAC